UUUAGGGUAAUCGAGCUCUUGCAUUUGCUCAGUUCAUAAAUCCAUCAUUUCUCUCUUCCACUACAGUUUAAGUCAAUCAGAAGAAGCUGGGCUCUCCUCUUCUUUUUUUGCACUGCAGUAAAGCUAUUCAGGAUUUAAUUUAUGUAUUGGCAUGCUUGAAACAGACCACGUCCUUUCAACCGGUGAGGCAAAAAACAGCAGGUCAAAUUAAGGAGGAAGUAGUAGCAUACCUUUUAUCAUUUCUUCAAUCUUUAGUCUUGCCUUGCUGUCUGAAGCUGGAUGGUAAAGCAGGCUAGACACCAUGAUCUUAAAACCAAUCCCUUCCAAAAGAGGUCACAAAGGCAGUAACAUCACCUGACAUCUGAUCCCUGAAAUUGCGUGCUAAUCGAGUAAGACAACCGAAAGCAGUAAGUAGCAUCUUGCUUAAAAACAUACAUCAAUUAUUCGUACUUUGCAGCAUGCCAACUGAAUUUGUCCUAGGCUGGUCCAUAUGCCAAACAUUUAGUACGCACACGGUGGAAUGCAGCAGAGAAAACAAAAGG
rnacentral:lncRNA from 1 species